AUUGAACGCUGGCGGCAGGCCUAACACAUGCAAGUCGAACGCUUGGCGGACGGGUGAGUAAUGUCUGGGAAACUGCCUGAUGGAGGGGGAUACCUCCUGGAAACGGUCGCUAAUCCCGCCUACCAUCGUCUGUGCCCAGAUGGGAUUAGCUUGUAGGUGGGGUAAAGGCUCACCUAGGCGACGAUCCCUAGCUGGUCUGAGAGGAUGACCAGCCACACUGGAACGGAGACACGGUCCAGACGCCUACGGGAGGCAGCAGGGGGGAAUAUUGCACAAUGGGCGCAAGCCUGAUGCAGCCAUGCCGCGUGUAUGAAGAAGGCCUUCGGGUUGUAAAGUACUUUCAGCGUGGAGGCGUUACCCGCAGAAGAAGCACCGGCUAACUCCGUGCCAGCAGCCGCGGUAAUUC
rnacentral:rRNA from 1 species